rnacentral:rRNA from 1 species
CCUACGUGUGGCAGCAGUGAGGAAUAUUGGUCAAUGGGCGCGAGCCUGAACCAGCCAAGUCGCGUGAGGGAUGGAGGUUCUAUGGAUCGUAACCCUCUUUUAUAAGGGAAUAAAGUGUGGGACGUGUCCUAUUUUGUAUGUACCUUAUGAAUAAGCAUCGGCUAACUCCGUGCCCGCAGCCGCGGUAAUACGGAGGAUCCGAACGUUAUCCGGAUUUAUUGGGUUUAAUGGGUGCGUAGGCGGCCGUUUAAGUCAGCGUGGAAAGUCUGUGGCUCAACCAUAGAAGUGCCGUUGAAACUGGGGGGCUUGAGUAUGUUUGAGGCAGGGGGAAUGCGUGGUGUAGCGGUGAAAUGCUUAGAUAUCACGCAGAACCGCGAUGGCGAAGGCAGCCUGCCAAGCCAUGACUGACGCUGAUGCACGAAAGCGUGGGGAUCAAACAGGAUUAGAUACCCGAGUAGUC